GACGAACGCUGGCGGCGUGCCUAAUACAUGCAAGUCGAGCGGACGGAUGGGAGCUUGCUCCCAGACCGUCAGCGGCGGACGGGUGAGUAACACGUGGGCAACCUGCCUGUAAGACUGGGAUAACUCCGGGAAACCGGGGCUAAUACCGGAUAACUCUUUCCCUCACAUGAGGGAAAGCUGAAAGAUGCCAUCUCGCUAUCACUUACAGAUGGGCCCGCGGCGCAUUAGCUAGUUGGUGAGGUAACGGCUCACCAAGGCGACGAUGCGUAGCCGACCUGAGAGGGUGAUCGGCCACACUGGAACUGAGACACGGCCCAGACUCCUACGGGAGGCAGCAGUAGGGAAUCUUCCGCAAUGGGCGAAAGUCUGACGGAGCAACGCCGCGUGAGUGAUGAAGGUUUUCGGAUCGUAAAACUCUGUUGUCAGGGAAGAACGAGUACCAGAGUAACUGCCGGUACCUUGACGUUACCUGACCAGAAAGCCACGGCUAACUACGUG
rnacentral:rRNA from 1 species